GACGAAGGUGGCGAGCGUUGUUCGGAAUCACUGGGCAUAAAGCGCACGUAGGCGGUGUCGUAAGUCGGAUGUGAAAUCCCUCGGCCUAACCGAGGAACUGCGUCCGAUACUGCGAUGCUUGAGGACCAGAGGGGUGCAUGGAAUUUCCGGUGGAGCGGUGAAAUGCGUUGAUAUCGGAAGGAACUCCGGCGGCGAAAGCGAUGCACUGGCUGGUUUCUGACGCUGAGGUGCGAAAGCCAGGGGAGCAAACGGG
rnacentral:rRNA from 2 species